rnacentral:misc_RNA from 1 species
UUGAGCCCACAUGGGUGCGUG